rnacentral:rRNA from 1 species
CAGAGAUGGAUUGGUGCCUUCGGGAACUGUGAGACAGGUGCUGCAUGGCUGUCGUCAGCUCGUGUUGUGAAAUGUUGGGUUAAGUCCCGCAACGAGCGCAACCCUUAUCCUUUGUUGCCAGCGGUUAGGCCGGGAACUCAAAGGAGACUGCCAGUGAUAAACUGGAGGAAGGUGGGGAUGACGUCAAGUCAUCAUGGCCCUUACGACCAGGGCUACACACGUGCUACAAUGGCAUAUACAAAGAGAAGCGACCUCGCGAGAGCAAGCGGACCUCAUAAAGUAUGUCGUAGUCCGGAUUGGAGUCUGCAACUCGACUCCAUGAAGUCGGAAUCGCUAGUAAUCGUAGAUCAGAAUGCUACGGUGAAUACGUUCCCGGGCCUUGUACACACCGCCCGUCACACCAUGGGAGUGGGUUGCAAAAGAAGUAGGUAGCUUAACCUUCGGGAGGGCGCUUACCACUUU